rnacentral:rRNA from 1 species
AAUGGGCGAAAGCCUGACGCAGCAACGCCGCGUGCGGGAUGAAGGCCUUCGGGUUGUAAACCGCUUUCAGCAGGGAAGAAGCGAAAGUGACGGUACCUGCAGAAGAAGCACCGGCUAACUACGUGCCAGCAGCCGCGGUAAUACGUAGGGUGCAAGCGUUGUCCGGAUUUAUUGGGCGUAAAGAGCUCGUAGGCGGUUAGUCACGUCGGAUGUGGAAACCCAGUGCUUAACACUGGGCCUGCAUUCGAUACGGGCUGACUAGAGUGUUGUAGGGGAGACUGGAACUCCUGGUGUAGCGGUGAAAUGCGCAGAUAUCAGGAAGAACACCGGUGGCGAAGGCGGGUCUCUGGGCAACUACUGACGCUGAGGAGCGAAAGCGUGGGAGCAAACAGGAUU